CGGCCGCGUCCUCGGGCCGAGCGGAGCGGGUGGCGGCGCCGCCUUCCCCCACAGCUCUCGCUUGAGAGGUGCCCGCCCCACGCUGCUGCUGAUUGGGGCGGAGACGGAGAGUUGUGGGGUGAGGGGGGGAGUGAAGUGUGUGUGUGUUUGUGUUUGUGUGUGUGUGUGUGUGUGUGUGUGUGGGUAAACAAGGGUGGGUGGGUGUCUGCUCCCCCUCGGACUCGUUCCGGAGCACACAGCUCUAAGCGAUGCCCGACACCGGCUCCCACCACACACUUGUUACGUUGUUGGAUAAGUUGCUCUGUGUUUUCUUGCAUUCCAGCUCUUGGAUGUGGGGAAAUGUGUGUUUUCAUUAUAGUUUCUGUAAUUAGCUGUAAUGUCUGUAAUAGGAAGUAAUGGAGAGAUCGGUACUUGUUCUGUGCUGAGCCCAAGGAGGGCCCUAUGUCAUUUGUUGCAGAAAUGUUGAGACCCAUGAGGAGUUCCUGCGGGUGUCUCCCAUGAUUCCAAAGAACAAUGUUAUUAAUCCAGUUACAACAUAGAAAGGUGAAUGGCUUUGCACACAAUGUUGCAAGACUUGUGGCUCGUUACUUCUGCUUAUCAACAGCCUGUAUUAGGCACAUCUUAACCUUUCCUGCAAGAGUAAUAACCUUAAUAGAAGGUUAAUAAUAGAAGGAAAACACAAUUCUAGUUCAGUAUCACACGUGACAUAAAAUGGAAAGGAAAUUGUAGAGGCAAGUGAUGAAUCUGCUGUGGGAGCACAGGUGAAGGUAAUUCAUCUGAGCUACAGGAAGGGGUGGAGGUUGACUCUACCUCUCGUAGAUCCCAUUUAAGGGCUGACCACCAGCAAGAUCAUAGUUGGGUUAUUCUGUAAACAGGGAAACUUUCCUGCUCACCCCAUAUCAGUCAAAUAAGAAAAUGAAAGGAUAUUACUCUAUGUCUAGAGAACAAAAAUUCCUGAUUCUGCUUACAGCAUGGAUCAGAAAUUCCAAGCUUUCUAAGAUUUCUGCCUUAAAUCCUUGGGUGCAGAGAAAUACAUAGUCACAGCUUGAAGCAGUGAUUGAACAACUGGUGGGAAGGCAGGGCCAACCAGGGGAGCUCAGGUCCAUGCAAGGCACCUGAGUGAUUAGAAGGGGUGGAGACAGGAUCCAUUCUUCCUCAGACCUCAUUUAAGGAUUGGCAAUGAAGGCAAAGGUAUCUUGGUGGAGGUAUCUGCAUACCUGAAGUCUUCUGUAGAGUGAGAGCAAUCAGUUGUCCAGCAGCAAGACUACAAUCAAGAUUAAACCUGGAACUGACGAAAUUAGAAUGUGGAAGGGAGAGGUACACUGCAGUGACUUAUGUAAGAACCCAGCUGCCAACUGAUAUGCAAUAGUUACAGCCAAAUGUAAGUUUGUCUUGGAAAUAUCUGCUCGUGAUAUGCAAAAGAGUAUGGAUCAUGUUUCCCUCUCUAAGGAUAGUAAUCCUACAGUAUUGAAACCUCCAAAAGGAUAAACUGGAUCAUGCUGUUGCAGUUACAGUAAUUAAAGUAUAAUAGAUGACUACAGAAGCAUAGAACUGCCCAGAUUGGAAGGAACCUCAGAAGAUUAUCAGGUUCAACUUUUCCUGGGACAAAGGAGCCUAGGACACAACUGUGAGCUGGUGCUACACUGCAAAGUGAUACAAUAUACUGCUGAAGCCAUUGUCAGAAUUUCAGUCUGAAAUUUUGAGAUAAAAGGACAAGUGCAAAGAGAACUACCUGAUAAGUCUGAAAGGUCAAAGUGUGAAUGUGCCCAGCACCUGAGAUCAACUCCCCACUAAAAUCAGUGGAUCCAGUUGUUGAGUUCUCAUUCAGUCCUUUCUCAGGCAAAACACUGAGUCGUGAUCCAACUUUGUACACGACACAUGAAGCACCGUCUAUCUGGAUUUGGCUAGUGUCAGUUGCUUCUCUUGUUUUAAGCGGUAUUUCCUUGAACUUACCUACACACGGCUACAAUUACUUAUGAAUUCUGAUAACUUUAACAAAAGUUUUGAGUACCGUGUUUCAAAAGAAUCAGUCUGUUCAGAAAGCUUCAAGGUCAUAGAGAACAGCAUGCCUUUGUGUCGCAUGAGGGCUCUCAUGCUGCUUUACCAACUUGAAGCUGAAGUGCUGUGUGAAUCACUGACCUUGAGGGAAUCCUUGUGGUAAACACUGCUGUACCUGCUAAAUCUUUGGGCUGUAAUUGGACAUUGUUAACAAGGAUGCUGUAUGUGGCAUUCAAUCGAGGAAGGUUCAUAAACCACUGCAAAUGAGAAAGUGAACCUACCAGUUUAAUCUUAAUCGCCGACAUUGGUCAUGGAUCACUGCUUGUUCUGUUUUUUUCUUCCAGUAAAGUUAUUCUAAUUUGCAAGAACGCUGCCUUCUGCUUCCUCCCGAAUUUGCCCUUCAGCACACAUUUGUUGCAGUAACAUUUUGAACCUGCCGACUUGUUAUUAAGCACUCUGGACCCUUUUGAUUUUCCAGAAGUAUUUCUUUAAGUGAUAUUCAUUUGCGCUGUGCAUCUCAUAUUUCUAAUACGUCUUUAAGGAGUUACCAUCCUGCCUGCAAACGUCUUACAUUUCUUUCUACUGCUUUUACUUUCCUGUAAAAAAAGUACUGUAAAAAGUACUGUAAAAAAAGUGAAAGUACUUUUCACUGUAGUGAUGGAUUUCUGUUUCUUGGUCUCUGUGUGGACCUAAAUACAUUUUGGCCACUGUGUGCUGCUCUCACAGUAAUGUCUCACGUACAGCUUGAUGUUAGGGAAAGAAUUUUCUUUUGUGCACUGUGUUAACUGUUCUUCUAGUUGCACUGUGUCAACUAUUUGUGAAUGAAAUCCUGACAUGAUAGAAAGGCUUUUUGAACAAACCAGCUACUCCAGUUUUCACUAUUUCUGGUUUUAUUCCUUAUAUGUUACUUAUUUUAUUGGGGAAGACAUCGAUAAAUAAGAGAUUAAAAAAU